rnacentral:rRNA from 1 species
CUACGGGGCGCAGCAGUGAGGAAUAUUGCACAAUGGGGGGAACCCUGAUGCAGCAACGCCGCGUGGAGGGUGACACUUUUCGGAGCGUAAACUCCUUUUAUAUAGGAAGAAGAUGACGGUACUAUAUGAAUAAGCGCCGGCUAACUCCGUGCCAGCAGCCGCGGUAAUACGGAGGGCGCAAGCGUUACUCGGAAUCACUGGGCGUAAAGAGCGUGUAGGCGGAUUAAAAAGUCAGAAGUGAAAUCCUAUAGCUUAACUAUAGAACUGCUUCUGAAACUCUUAAUCUAGAAUAUGGGAGAGGUAGAUGGAAUUUCUGGUGUAGGGGUAAAAUCCGUAGAGAUCAGAAGGAAUACCGAUUGCGAAGGCGAUCUACUAGAACAUUAUUGACGCUGAGACGCGAAAGCGUGGGGAGCAAACAGGAUUAGAUACCCCUGUAGUC